UACGGAGGGGACUAGCGUUGUUCGGAAUUACUGGGCGUAAAGCGCACGUAGGCGGAUUUGUAAGUCAGGGGUGAAAUCCCGGGGCUCAACCUCGGAACUGCCUUUGAUACUGCAAAUCUCGAGUCCGGAAGAGGUGAGUGGAAUUCCUAGUGUAGAGGUGAAAUUCGUAGAUAUUAGGAAGAACACCAGUGGCGAAAGGCGG
rnacentral:rRNA from 1 species